UAUAUUGAUUAUUUAAGUCCUAUUUGGAUCUAUUAUUUGGAAAGGAGAACGUUAAAAUUUUGAAAAGAAAUAUAAAGUGAAGAAACGAAAGAGGGCAGAAGCGAUUUCUUCUUUCUUCUUUGCUUGUGUGUGCAUCAGCUAUGAAGCGCCAUAGAUUUACUGCCAUUAGAGUGGGAAUCAUAAGACAUUAGACGAGGUAGAAGUAGAAGAAGCGAGACAGGCUGUGGAAAUGACAAUUUUUGAGGAGGUGGUAGUUCUGGAAUGAUGACUCAGCCGCAGAUACGAUCAAUAGGGAUUACUGAGGCAUCUCUGCAGGUAAAAGUGUGCUGUAAAAUUCCCGAGAUAAUAUUUGGUACAAGUUUAAUGUCUAUUUUAUGAUUUUAGUGUGCAAAAGUGUGCAUAUUAUGGGAGAUUUGUGUUUUCUUUUGAUGUCUGUAAUCUGGUGAAAUGUUGAUUUGGAUUCUAGCAGAAUUUUUAUAUAUUCUACUACAAGUGGCUUUCACGAAGAAGAUUGUUAGUAAUUUAAGAGCUUGCGUCAUGAAUUUUGACCAUGAUUAAUUCAACUUAAUAUGAUAAUACAAAAAUGUAUACACUCUCAAUGCGAACUCAUAAUCUUAGUUACUUAUAUCCUUUUAAACUGAGUACAUGUAUCCUGGCUAUUUUAGAUGUAUAUUUCAUGUUGAGAUCUGUAUCGCAAAAGUUAUAAAGUGACUGUAAAUGAUCUGAUGCUGCAUGGUAUGUUUUGAUGUUCAAGAGAAUUAAAUUGAGAGUCAAAAAAAUAGGAAAAGUUGAGGAAUGGGUCUUAAUAUUAGAUUAUAUUAUGUGUUAUAAUCAUGUUUGAGCAUAAAAAAGGUGCAAGAGGUGUUGUUAUAAUGUUUAGUAUCCUCUUUCUCUUUGUAAAUAUGUUAUAUUAUGGUACAAUUAGAUGUGACUUGAGUUUGUUUAAGAUUGAGGUAACGCAAAAAGCAACUAAGUCUAACUUCAAAUACCUGAAUUUAGUACUUGAUGGCUAAUGAUCUUGGUUGGUACUAAGAGAAUAGUCAUGCAUGUGAAUAGUGUUGAGCAUACCUCUCCGUUUUUAAAGAUUGAGCAUGUUGUGAAUUAUUUUUGUGACAACUCUUACAACUCUUUUUGUGACUUUUGAUUCGUUAGCGGUUAAAAUGUUUAGUGCUACUUGUAUUUUGAAAAGGAAGUAAAAUUUUGAACCAUCUUGAUUGAUUUGCAUGCCAUGUGUGGUGAGUUGUUGAACAAUGCCUUGUGUUCGCUUUUGUCACCUAGAACUUGCCCAAUUGGUCUUGAAAUGUUGGUCUUGAUUGAGUUUGGUUGGAGAAAUGAUCUUAGGCUUUCUUUGAUGUUCUUGAAGUCCACUUGGCCUAAAAAUCCAACCUUUGUAUUAAAUAUAUCCUUAGUUAUCCCCUUUGAGCCUAAUCCUUUUUAUUGGCAACCACAUUACAAGCCUUAUCCUUUUUUGAAAAAAUAACCCUCUUUUGAACCCUUCUCUCCUUGAACUUGAGGUUAUGAAAGUUGAGGCUAAAAGCCUAAGUUGGGGGUUUUAUGGGAAAUUCAUUAAAGGGAUGCUUUACCACAUGAGGAUUUGAUAUAAAAAAAAGGGAAAAAAAAGAAGAGAGAAAUUGAGGGAUGUAUGGAAGUCUUAAUGAAAGAAAAGCCUUUAAAAGAAAGAAAGAAAAUGAAUAAAUGAGACUUGAAUCCCUCAAAAGUUGAAAAUGGUUGUAUGUGGGGCAUCUAGAGUGGAAAUAACAAAAGAACAAUGAAAAAUAGUGUGGGAUGUGGCAUGAGUUUGAAAAGUGGAGAAAGUUGGAAAUAAUGAGUUGUUGCAUGAGAAGUCUUAAAGAAAGAAAAACCUUUGAAAAAGAAAGAAAGAAGAAGUGCAUGGGUUUGAGAAGUGGAGAAAGUUGGAAAUGAUGAGAAAACAAAAUGAAAAUAUUGUGGAAUGUGCAUGGGUUUGAGAAGUGGAGAAAGUUGGAAAUGAUGAGUUGUCAUAUAAUGUUCAAGGAGGGUGUAGUCACUUAUACCUAAAUGAUAUCCUAACCUUCACUAAGCCUAUAUUACAAGAUUAACAAAGUCCUUUUGAGAUUUCUAACCAAAUGGAGUUGAGUCAAUGUUGAUUGAAAAUAUGGGCAAGCCUAUGGUGUGGCAUUUGUGUGCAUGAGAUGAUUCUUUGUGAGUGUGAGUGUUGCAUCUUUGUCCCUUGUCUUAUUUACAUGUGUGUGUGGUUUUGGGACACUUCUUUCUUGUGAGGGCAUGUAAGUUGAAAAAGUGGUGAUUUUGAAAAUUCCUAAUUGAGUCAAGUGAGCAUGUGAAAGAGUUAAUGAGUUGAGUCAUUUCUUGAGUUUGAGUUGUUGUCACUUAAAUGAUUCUUGGUUUUUAAAAUGAUUCAUGAGAGGAUUUGUCUUACGAAAAGUUUGCAUGUGGACUAUUUGUUAGUACCAACCAAAGCCCAUUACCUUUGUGCUUAAUUGAGAAAGACAAAAUUGAUUUAUGGUGUGUCUUGAAAUAAGAGCCUCUUGUGUUUUUUAUUUUCUUUUCUUGAGAACCAACAAAGUUUCUAAGUUGGUGUGUGUGUUUGUUGAUGAGUGGUGGGUUUUCACUCAUUUUAGGCUCUUUUCGUAGUUAUUUUGGCUUGCUUUAGUUUAGAAUUGGUGCUUUUAAUGUUUUUUUUUUCAUAUUUACAUGAAAAUGAUGGAGAGUUGAUUUAGGAGAUAUUUGAAGAAACCAAGUGAACUUGAGGCAAAAAGAGGCCAAGAGCUGAAAAUUCAAUUUUUGGCAGGAAAAUUACCCUUCGUCAAUGCGCUUGUUGGGUGAAAGUUUAUAUUAAAGGAAAUGGCAAACCGUUUGGAAGAUGAAUAGGAAAGAAUUUCAAAUCUUGCCAAACUUUCUUUCAUGGGUUGUCAAAGAAAAGGAAAACGAAGACCCGGUGGCAUGGUGCUGAAAUCCAAAUUGUCAUUGAAAAGAACUGGACAACGUACAAAUCUCUUUUGCAGUUUUCCUUAAGCAGGAAUUUGUAAAAAUUGGGCAGUCUAGAGGCACUAUUUAAGCAUGUUCCUAAGGCUACCAUGUACUUCAACAUUAUAGUAAGUAUUGCUUAGUUUCAUCUUAUGCUCAACUUCCUAAUGACAUUUACCUUCUCAAUCUUUUCCUUGUUGAUUAUAGUAAGCGUGCUUUGGUAGUCCCGCGUAUUCUCGUUUGAUAUUUGGAUUGUGAGGACAGUCUCAUUUUUAGUUGGGAGUGCCUCCCUUUUACUCAUUAUUUUUAUUGUUUCUGCAUACUGCGAUUGUGCUUUGUUGGGCAUAGUUUUCUUCCUUGUUGUGGAUUGGUGUGCCCUUGUCAGGCUUUGAUAUUGUAGAUGUUUCGAUAGAUAUUAUGUUGGAUUAAUCUAUUUUAGUUUUUGAUUUGUAGUUUGUAGAUCUUUUUUUUUUUUUCAUUUUGAUAUUAUUUUUUUAUUUGGAUUAACAAUGCCCGAUAUGAAUAGAGAGUGGUGUCCUUCUUAAGGUGAAAUCAUCGAUUGCUUGUGAAACAAAUGACGUUGAUUGUUGCAAAGUUUGAGUGGUUGUUCCCAAAUAGAUACAUGAGGUUGCCUGAUGAUGGAUUGGUUGAGGGCUUUCUUAAGGCCAAAAUCAUCUUCAUUUUGGGAAUGUUUCGACUUGGUUGGUACUAAGAGCAUAGUCAUGCAUGUGUAUCCUGAGCAUAAGAUUUUGAGUGAUUUGUGACAACUAUUACAACUCCUUUUGUGACUUUUGACUCGUUAGCGGUUAAAAUGUUCAAUGCUACUUGUAUUUUCAAAAGGAAGUCAGAUUUUGAACCAUUUUGAUUGAUUUGCUGGCCAUGUGUGAUGAGUUAUUGAAUAAUGCCUUGUGUUCGUUUUUGUCACCUAGAACUUGCCCGGCUGGUCUUGUCCCCCAACUUUUCUUUCAUCUGUUGCUAAUGAAGAAGUUCAUCUAUCUAAUCUCUUUCUAAUCCUUCUACUAUUGAGCUUCUUUCAUCUGUUAUUGCGUUUUUCUGUGUGCACGUCACACAAUAGUGUUGUUUUCCUUUACACUUUAAUGUUUAGUGGGAACUUUUGCUUGUUCCCGCUUUUUGUUAAGUUCCAGCUUCUUUUAUUUUUUCUUGACCCCUUCAAUUAGGAAUAUUCCUCACGUUCAUAUUACUGUAUUACACCUUCUUUUCAGGAAUGUUCCUCACAUUCAUAUACAUGUAAAACAGGAAAACAAAGACCUGUGGCAUGGUGCUGAAAUCCAGAUUUUCUUGACUUUCAAUUAGGAUGAAUAAAGGAAUGUUCCUCACAUUCAUAUACAUGAAAAAGGAGAAAACAAAGACAGAUGACAUGGUGCUGAAAUCCAAAUUGUCAUUUAAAGGGACUGAACAACGUGCCGGUGAAGAGAUGAAGGCGUAUAUGAUGAUUUUGAGACAUCCAAGGCUCGUGAGGAUAAUGGAAGAGGAAUGCCACAUGAUGAUAUCCCGAAUAUGUUUGUUCGAGGUGUGCAAGAUCGAUGCUGAGUUUUCUGAUUGGUUCUUUAGCACUCUUUAAGCAUGUUCUAAGGCUACCAAGUACGUCAACAUUAUAGAAUGUUCCUCACUAUCAUAUACAUAUAAAACGGGAAAACAAAGACCGGUGGCAUGGUGCUGAAAUCCAGAUUUUCUUUAUUUUUUUUGACUUUCAAUUAGGAUGAACAAAGGAAUGUUCCUCACAUUCAUAUACAUGAAAAAUAGGAAAAUGAAGACUGGUGGCAUGGUGUUGAAAUCCCGAUUGUCAUCGAAAGGAGCUGGACACUGUACCGAGUAUGUAGUUCUUGAAUAAUUGUGACAGAAGUUCUCUAGCUCAAGUGAUUUAGGGGAACAGUUUUUAUGUUGGAUUUUGAGGGCAAGAAUUUAUAGAGAAAAAGAAUUGCAAAGCUCUAAAAGACAUAAGAAAUACCUAUUAGAUAGAUAUAUCCUUCUUUGUGGGUGGCGGUGGAUUUGCCAAAUUUCUCAAAACUCUUGCUGUGGUGGUGAUAUCGCUCGUCUCAGCUCGUCGCUGUCCCAGAACGUUGCCUUUCAAAAGGUAAUAUUUGUUUCUAUUUGUGUCUUUGUUUUUCUUAUUUGCUGGCCAUUUGAUUCUACUAGAUGAGGCGUCUAAAUGUUAGAAUGUUGAAUUUAUUUCGACUUACUGUUGAUUGCAAAGCAUUGAUAUAAGAUCCUUUGUCGGUUCAUGUGUCUAUUUUUUUGGGUUGAUUUGCUCGAAGUCUUAAUGUUUUCCACAAGGCGUUAGUUGGUUUUCUUCCUUUUCUUCUUGUUUCACUGUUGUUUCUUUUGGUUGACUACGAAGUUAUGAGUCAGUCAUGUAGUUCAGUAUAACCUUCUACAGGUGAUUUCGUUUUCUUUAUUCGAUAUAUGAAGGUUGUCUUCAUUCUCUUGUUACUUCAAAUAGGUUAAAUCGCAUGAGUUGAAUGCUUUACUGCCUCACCCUCUUUUCUUAAGGUUAGAUGUUGGAAUCUAUAUUAGUUAUUAGAUUUCUAAAUUUUACAAAGUUUUUCGUGUAUGUUUUGCCUUUAAUCAUGCUAAAAGUUGAAGAUUGCUCGUCUAUAUCCGAGUUGGUCUCGAAUGCCCCUUCCUUUUUUCCCCUUUCUUCGCAGUGGCUCGGUGUAUAUUGUCCCAUUAUCAGGCAUGCCUUGUUUUGAUUAAUACAGAGAGAUGAAACUCUAUAGCCUUCCCGAUCUUGGCUUAUCUUAGUUUGAAUUUUCCUUGGCGGGAUUGCCUACUUCCUCUAAUUUCCUCUGUUGAGCUUAUAAUUUUGAUGAUAAGCUAUGUUCAAUUGAUAAAAUAUAAUGAAAUUUGGACCUUUCCAGUUAGUUAUUUUUCUCCCUGCCAUUGAUCCUAACUUGUGAUGUCAAUUGUGUUUCUUUCUUUUGUAUGAUCUCAAGUUGUAUAAUGUAUGCUUCACAUGUUGUCACAAGAAUGUGUAUGCUUCACAUGUUGUUUGAUUGUCUGGUUUUGUUUUAAGGCGUUAGACGUGGGUUUUGAUUGAGGAUAGUUACAUGGUCUUAUUCUUGCCCAUUAUUUGAAUCUUAAGGACAUUGUGAUUAUUUAGAAAAUGUUUCAUCUUCUCCUUUGUUAUUCCGCUAUAAGUUUCUAUGUCAUUCUAGUUUAGUUUCUGGAAUUAAGAGCUUUGCAAGGUGUAUCUUAAUAUGUAAUGUUAUACGGAUAGUUGGCUCUAUUACUUUGUUGGUUCAUUUUUGAAGUUGGCUAGUUUUUAAUAGUAUAGGUAUAAAUCUUUGAGUUUCAUCUUCGAUCAAGUUUAUUUAUUUAUUUGUGUCUUGAUAUCAAUUAAGGAUUGAAUUUUCUUUUCAAGUUGCUAAUUCUUUUUUUUUUUGCGAGGUUGCCACCACGAUGGUCCUUGCAUAUCUGUUGGGCCUUGAAGGCCCAAUUUUAUCUUUUCUCGAGUCAGCCCAUAUUGUUUUGUCGAAAAGAUGGUGAUGAACAGGUCCUCGGAGGCUUAAUACAGGGCUACAAGUUGAUUUCCGAGUAUACGGAAGUCCAGAAGUGGAAUGUACAUGAUUUUAUACACUGAUAUACAACUGUUGUAUACAGAAACGAAAUUGGGCUAAAACCCCAAAAGCAGCAAUGAACUUGGCCCAAGAAAGGCCCAAAUUUAAUUUAUCCUUUUACUCUUAAAGAUUAAAUUGUCAUUAUUUAUUGUUUGUUCUUUUUUCUUUAUUUAUUAUUAAAUCUAAUUUUGGAAUUGUCAAUUAACUUAAUCGAAUUCCCCUAAAGAUAAAUUAUUUUUCGUUGUGUAAGUUAACUUUAAAUAAAUUU